rnacentral:rRNA from 1 species
CACGAACGCUGGCGGCGUGCCUAAUACAUGCAAGUCGAGCGAAGCGUCGGAUGGGUGCGUAACGCGUGGGUAACCUGCCCUUAAGUCUGGGAUACCAUUUGGAAACAGAUUCUAAUACCGGAUACUAACGGAGGGAUCUGCGAUGCAUUAGCUAGUUGGUAAGGUAUCGGCUUACCAAGGCGAUGAUGCAUAGCCGAGUUGAGGAACUGAUCGGCCACAUUGGGACUGAGACACGGCCCAAACUCCUACGGGAGGCAGCAGUAGGGAAUCUUCCACGAUGGACGAAAGUCUGAUGGAGCAACGCCGCGUGAGUGAAGAAGGUUUUCGGAUCGUAAAGCUCUGUUGUUGGUGAAGCGGUAAUCAACCAGAAAGUCACGGCUAACUACGUGCCAGCAGCCGCGGUAAUUC